rnacentral:misc_RNA from 1 species
ACACCUCAACUCUCAUGGUUUGCCAUGAUGAGCUUGGACUUUGGGGGUCUUGCUGGCCUAUGGUCGGCUCCUCUCAAAUGAAUCAGCUUACCAGUGUUUGGUGGCGUCACAGGUGUGAUAACUAUCUACGCUUGUGGCUUUCCAUCAGACAACCUUCAGUGAUGGAGGUUCGCUGGGGGCUCAUAAAUGUCUCUCUUCUGGAGGACAGCUUUUGAAC